rnacentral:rRNA from 4 species
AGACCCGAAACCCGGUGAUCUAGCCAUGGGCAGGUUGAAGGUUGGGUAACACUAACUGGAGGACCGAACCGACUAAUGUUGAAAAAUUAGCGGAUGACCUGUGGCUGGGGGUGAAAGGCCAAUCAAACCGGGAGAUAGCUGGUUCUCCCCGAAAGCUAUUUAGGUAGCGCCUCGUGAAUUCAUCUCCGGGGGUAGAGCACUGUUUCGGCUAGGGGGCCAUCCCGGCUUACCAACCCGAUGCAAACUGCGAAUACCGGAGAAUGUUAUCACGGGAGACACACGGCGGGUGCUAACGUCCGUCGUGAAGAGGGAAACAACCCAGACCGCCAGCUAAGGUCCCAAAGUCAUGGUUAAGUGGGAAACGAUGUGGGAAGGCCCAGACAGCCAGGAUGUUGGCUUAGAAGCAGCCAUCAUUUAAAGAAAGCGUAAUAGCUCACUGGUCGAGUCGGCCUGCGCGGAAGAUGUAACGGGGCUAAACCAUGCACCGAAGCUGCGGCAGCGACGCUGAUGCGUUGUUGGGUAGGGGAGCGUUCUGUAAGCCUGCGAAGGUGGCCUGUGAGGGUUGCUGGAGGUAUCAGAAGUGCGAAUGCUGACAUAAGUAACGAUAAAGCGGGUGAAAAGCCCGCUCGCCGGAAGACCAAGGGUUCCUGUCCAACGUUAAUCGGGGCAGGGUGAGUCGACCCCUAAGGCGAGGCCGAAAGGCGUAGUCGAUGGGAAACGGGUUAAUAUUCCCGUACUUGGUGUUACUGCGAAGGGGGGACGGAGAAGGCUAUGUUGGCCGGGCGACGGUUGUCCCGGUUUAAGCGUGUAGGUGUGUGUUCCAGGUAAAUCCGGUUCACUUUAACACUGAGGCGUGAUGACGAGGCACUACGGUGCUGAAGCAACAAAUGCCCUGCUUCCAGGAAAAGCCUCUAAGCAUCAGGUAACAUCAAAUCGUACCCCAAACCGACACAGGUGGUCAGGUAGAGAAUACCAAGGCGCUUGAGAGAACUCGGGUGAAGGAACUAGGCAAAAUGGUGCCGUAACUUCGGGAGAAGGCACGCUGACACGUAGGUGAAGUGAUUUACUCAUGGAGCUGAAGUCAGUCGAAGAUACCAGCUGGCUGCAACUGUUUAUUAAAAACACAGCACUGUGCAAACACGAAAGUGGACGUAUACGGUGUGACGCCUGCCCGGUGCCGGAAGGUUAAUUGAUGGGGUCAGCGCAAGCGAAGCUCCUGAUCGAAGCCCCGGUAAACGGCGGCCGUAACUAUAACGGUCCUAAGGUAGCGAAAUUCCUUGUCGGGUAAGUUCCGACCUGCACGAAUGGCGUAAUGAUGGCCAGGCUGUCUCCACCCGAGACUCAGUGAAAUUGAACUCGCUGUGAAGAUGCAGUGUACCCGCGGCAAGACGGAAAGACCCCGUGAACCUUUACUAUAGCUUGACACUGAACAUUGAGCCUUGAUGUGUAGGAUAGGUGGGAGGCUUUGAAGUGUGGACGCCAGUCUGCAUGGAGCCGGCCUUGAAAUACCACCCUUUAAUGUUUGAUGUUCUAACGUGGACCCGUGAUCCGGGUUGCGGACAGUGUCUGGUGGGUAGUUUGACUGGGGCGGUCUCCUCCUAAAGAGUAACGGAGGAGCACGAAGGUUGGCUAAUCCUGGUCGGACAUCAGGAGGUUAGUGCAAUGGCAUAAGCCAGCUUGACUGCGAGCGUGACGGCGCGAGCAGGUGCGAAAGCAGGUCAUAGUGAUCCGGUGGUUCUGAAUGGAAGGGCCAUCGCUCAACGGAUAAAAGGUACUCCGGGGAUAACAGGCUGAUACCGCCCAAGAGUUCAUAUCGACGGCGGUGUUUGGCACCUCGAUGUCGGCUCAUCACAUCCUGGGGCUGAAGUAGGUCCCAAGGGUAUGGCUGUUCGCCAUUUAAAGUGGUACGCGAGCUGGGUUUAGAACGUCGUGAGACAGUUCGGUCCCUAUCUGCCGUGGGCGCUGGAGAACUGAGGGGGGCUGCUCCUAGUACGAGAGGACCGGAGUGGACGCAUCACUGGUGUUCGGGUUGUCAUGCCAAUGGCACUGCCCGGUAGCUAAAUGCGGAAGAGAUAAGUGCUGAAAGCAUCUAAGCACGAAACUUGCCCCGAGAUGAGUUCUCCCUGAGACUUAGAGUCUCCUGAAGGAACGUUGAAGACGACGACGUUGAUAGGCCGGGUGUGUAAGCGCAGCGAUGCGUUGAGCUAACCGGUACUAAUGAACCGUGAGGCUUAACCUUACAACGCCGAAG